UCUAAUUUUGGGUGGUGUGCCACCAAGAGCUGAAAUAAUCGAAAUUUUCACACAGUUUUUUUUUCGGUGCCCCAAAUUCAUUGCCUAAAACAUUCGAGAAUUUUUUUCUCGCGAAUCCGCUCUUAGAUUGUCCUUGAGGCACUUUUAUAUAAUAUAUAGUUGUGUGUUUUGUGCCUAAACCCCAAGGACCAUCGGCAAUGCUCGACAGAUUCAUUGAAAGUGCGGUUUCUUCAGACAAUCACAGUUCUUUUUUUUUGUUUCAGUGUAUUUCAUCUUCUAAUAAUUUUUUUGAGAGUCUUGAAUGAAUAGAUGUGUGCGAAGGGUAUCAAUGUAUUUGUUAACUGUGCGAAAAAAUUCGCGAAUUCCGCCUGACACAGAUUUGGGCUGUGAUAAAUUUGAUAAUGUGCGCCUCUUCUCAAUUCAAUCAAUUAAUGACCCUUUGUCUUCUUCCUCACACAGGCUUUCAAGAGAAUUUCCAGCCGGUUAAACUCCUUGAGAAAUGAGAGCAAAUCCGCAGUGCGCCACCGAUGACUUUUCACAAUUUCCUCCGCGAAUCUCUUUGUGGAAAAAAAGUGAAACAAGAACCCCUCCAAGAAGAGUAUUCACGAAGACAAGCCACACUUUCCGAGCCGAAAGGAAACCAUUUUAUGGGGUUUUUUUCAGCAGGUAUGAAAAACUUUUCUGGAGAGAUCCUUCAGCCAUUGAAUUUUAAUGGACAGAAAAUAUAUAUGUAUAUUUAGUGUACCCUUCUGGAUGAUGAGCUUCGUAAUUUUUCUUUUUCAACAUAAUUCAGCUUGUAAUUCAAAAUAUAGUCUCUCACAGAUUCCAGGAAUCAUUUAGUGAAAAAAAAACUUCUAUUUAGAAUAAUAAAAUAAUGAAGAUGAGCACAAAAUUUAUGAACACCGGCAUAAAGACGUUUUCAAUUAAGGAGCUUAUAAAAUUCUUAAGUUUCCUUAAUUUUUGGACAUUCGGUUCGUUUAGUUCGGCCCAAGAUUGAUUAGAAUAGAAUUUUUUAAUAAUAUUAAAGAAUCUUUACACAAAGUUUAAGAAAUUUAUUUUACGCAAAAAUUAUCCUUAUAAAUUAUGACAAAUAAUAACCUAUUAUAAGAGAAUUUAAAAAUAUCCUUAGUAUCCUUAGAAUAUCCCGGUUACAUAGAAAAAAAAUAUCAGAAUAGAAAAGAAUUUUAUAUUCUGUCAAAUGAUUUCCACCAAAUAUCAAUUAAAAGACAUUUUUUUUUAAUUUAAUAAUUUUUUGACAAAUUAAAUGAAAAAGUUAUUUUUUAAAUUAGAUAGUUAGAUCGAUUUUGAAAACAAGUUUAAAUGGAAUGUUUAUCACAAUGUGAAUUUGUAAAAACUUAUUUUAAUAGAACAGAUUUCGGUCAUUUCGAUUGAUUAAAUUCUGUUGUUUUGAUAAUUUAUUUUGCUACACUUUUCUAUUUAAUUUUAAUUAUUAAUUUUAUUGAAUUGUUCAAUAAUUUUCUCAAAGACUAUGACUAAUAUGUGAUCAUAAAACUCGAUACUACACUACAAAAACAUCCUUUGACGGGACGACCUUGGGAAACCAUGUAAUAUAAAAAAUAUAUUGGUCUUUUUGUGUAGGUACUACUUUAGUGAAAUUCUAAAUAUGCAUCUGUAAAAAAAAUAACAAAUAGCUAAAGCAAAUAUAGAAAAAAAAUAAAAUUAGAGAAAAACAAUAAUAUUAUCUCAAGGUCCUUUAAGUUUUUCUAUGUUUUAUAUAACUUGUGUCAGUUGUUUAAUUUUUUAGCCAGAAUUUAAAACAGCAGAUUAAAAAUAGAAUUUAUCUCAAAUUCUCGUGCAAAAUGAAUUAUUUUUAUAAGUAAGAUUCUUAGAAUAUAACAGUAAAACAGUAAAAGUUGUUCUAGGGUCUAGAAAAAUGUAUAUACGGAAGGAUUAGAUGAAGGUGAAGAAGGUUAAGCGUAAUUUUUAAUAGUCUCUAAUAAUUCAACUUGAAGUUUAGUACACAAAUAGUUGAAGUGCACUAAAAGUGCAAAAAAUAUGUAUAUAUAAAGUAUAUAGUCAGAGAGAGUGAGACCGCGAGGACUUGCGAGCUCGUUGAGUCGUAAAAAAGUCUAUGAGUGCGAUAAUUUACAGCACAAUUGUAUUUUAGACAGAAAGACAGAUUUUAAAUAGAAUAAUUGCGAUUGACAAGAAAUAGAUUGAAAAUUC